GCGCUUGGCCCAGAUCCACAUUCAGCAGCAGGACCAGUGUGUGGAGAUCACUGAGGAGUCCAAGGCUCUCCUGGAGGAAUACAACAAGACUGUAUCCUUUCUGCUCAACUAGGACCCUAAUGGGUGCUGUCCCUAAGCCCUGUCCUUUUGUUCCACCUCUAGCUCUCUCUCGUCCUAUCCCACCCACCUAUGUUUGCCUGCUCCCCACUUUCCAUGAACUUCCUCACUCAGAUUCCUAUUCUCACCUUGACCUACAACCAGACAAUGCUUCUCUCCAAGCAAUUCGUGCAGUGGGAUGAGCUACUUUGCCAGCUAGAGGCUGCCACGCAAGUGAAGCCAGCAGAGGAGUGACAGCUGUUCCCUAUCCCAAAGUGGGCCUGGGCAUUCAGGCUCCAGGGCCC
rnacentral:sRNA from 1 species